AACGAACGCUGGCGGCAUGCCUAACACAUGCAAGUCGAACGAGACCUUCGGGUCUAGUGGCGCACGGGUGCGUAACGCGUCGGAACCUGCCCUUAGGUUCGGAAUAACUCUCCGAAAGGGGUGCUAAUACCGGAUAAUGUCUUCGGACCAAAGAUUUAUCGCGUUUGGAUGGGCCCGCGUUGGAUUAGCUAGUUGGUAGGGUAAAAGCCUAUCAAGGCGACGAUCCAUAGCUGGUCAGAGAGGAUGAGCAGCCACACUGGGACUGAGACACGGCCCAGACUCCUACGGGAGGCAGCAGUGGGGAAUAUUGGACAAUGGGCGAAAGCAUGAUGCAGCUAUGCCGGGUGAGUGAUGAAGGCCUUAGGGUUGUAAAGCUCUUUUACCCGGGAUGAUAAUGACAGUACCGGGAGAAUAAGCACCGGCUAACUCCGUG
rnacentral:rRNA from 1 species